rnacentral:rRNA from 1 species
CAGUAGCCGCGGUAAUACGUAGGGUGCGAGCGUUAGUCGGAAUUACUGGGCGUAAAGCGUGCGCAGGCGGUUUUGUAAGACAGGCGUGAAAUCCCCGGGCUCAACCUGGGAAUGGCGCUUGUGACUGCAGAGCUAGAGUGCGGCAGAGGGGGAUGGAAUUCCGCGUGUAGCAGUGAAAUGCGUAGAUAUGCGGAGGAACACCGAUGGCGAAGGCAAUCCCCUGGGCCUGCACUGACGCUCAUGCACGAAAGCGUGGGGAGCAAACAGGAUUAGAGACCCCCGUAGUCCCUGUCUCUUAUAC